rnacentral:rRNA from 1 species
GAUGAACGCUGACAGAAUGCUUAACACAUGCAAGUCAACUUGAACUUCGGUUUGGGUGGCGGACGGGUGAGUAACGCGUAAAGAACUUGCCUCACAGCUAGGGACAACAUUUGGAAACGAAUGCUAAUACCUGAUAUUAUGAUUAUAUGGCAUCGUAUAAUUAUGAAAGCUAUAUGCGCUGUGAGAGAGCUUUGCGUCCCAUUAGCUAGUUGGAGAGGCAACAGCUCACCAAGGCGAUGAUGGGUAGCCGGCCUGAGAGGGUGAUCGGCCACAAGGGGACUAAGAACGGCCCCUACUUCCUCGGGGGGGCAGCAGGGGGGAAUAUUGGACAAGGGCCCAAGAGUGUUACCCAGAAUUUGUGUGUGCAGAAAAAAUUUUUUGGGAAUAAAAAGUGCUUUAGGUGGGAAAAAAAAAAAUGACGGCCCAAAAAAAAGAAGUGACGACAAAAUCCGUC